UGUAAACAUCCUUGACUGGAAGCUGGUGUUAGGUUCUGGGGCUUUCAGUCGGAUGUUUGCA
rfam:Larimichthys crocea isolate SSNF unplaced genomic scaffold scaffold775, whole genome shotgun sequence.